rnacentral:lncRNA from 9 species
CAGAUAAUGGAGAACUGUGAGUUCUGACUGUAAGAGCACUCACUUUCCCACUCAGGAGGUGGGCGGGGCUACUUGGUGAGAAUCUCACCAGCCGAGACCGGAUGAAGUUCUCGCAGAGGGUGGAGUUCUCGCGGGCACAGCACCGCUAGGCUGGCGAUGCGCCAGAUCGCAGUGCUCGCGUCUCUGCGCUCGCCGGCCACUGCAGCCAUGUUGAGUGUCUUGCUCCGCCUUCAGCUGAGGUGUGGGCGCAGCCCUUUUCCACGAGGAGCUCUGGUGAACAAGUGCGAGUCCUCUACAUGUGGUGCUCUGCAAGCAAGUGAAAAUAGACUAAGCUCAAAGGAAAGAAAAGGGAUCAUUGUACCACACAAUGCACAGUGUACAGAAGUCAACAUGAAAGGGUGGAAAAGGGUCUUGGAUCAAUCCCAUAUGGACUAAUGGUAUAUGAAAAAAAUGUGACUUCAAAG